AUACGGAGGGUGCAAGCGUUAUCCGGAUUCAUUGGGUUUAAAGGGUACGUAGGCGGAUAGAUAAGUUAGUGGUGAAAUCCCGAAGCUCAACUUCGGAACUGCCAUUAAAACUGUCUAUCUUGAAUUUGGUUGAAGUGGGCGGAAUAUGACAUGUAGCGGUGAAAUGCAUAGAUAUGUCAUGGAACACCGAUAGUGAAGACAGCUCACUAAGCCAAUAUUGACGCUGAGGUACGAAAGCAUGGGUAGCGAACAGGAUUAGAAACCCUUGUAGUCC
rnacentral:rRNA from 1 species